GUGGCUGUGACUGCCCGCCCUCACAACGGCCCGUUUUCUUCCCAGUGCUCUGAACUUUUGGGCAAAUGUGUCAAGUGUGUACACAGACAAAGCCUCACUUCAAAGCUCGUGUUCAGGGCCCUUAAAGUCAUAGUUAUUGCAAAACUGCGGCCGUCUGGCGAACCUGCCUUAUGUAAGGGUGCUUGAACGUAUGAUUCACCAAACAUUUCCGCAGACAUCGCAAAGUUGUUGGAGCCAGAGUAGGAGAAAGACCACCCAUUUGAGAUCAUGGCUUGACAGGGAACACUCCCUCCUGCCACCAGAAUGGGACCAAUCUAGACAUCUCUUCUCUGGCUUCCUUGUGCCUGGCCUUUUUUGGAGGGUUGGGAUAGUGGCCUGUCUUCAUGCAUGGUGAGAUAACACCAACAUCGAAGGAAGAUCUUUGCCACAGAGGAUCCUAGUUCCAGCUCCCAGAAUGACACUUUAACGGGAAAUCAUCUGAUUUUCUUUUUCUGGCCGUGAGACUAAUGGAAGUUUUCAUGUGAGUGUCCAAAGAGAUGAUCUUGGAGUCUGGGAUACAACCAAGGAAGCAGCACGUCUGCCUGCACAUUAUGAUGCCUCCCACCAUGAUGACAAUGGACUAAAACCUCUGAAACUGUCCGGCUUGUUUGAUGUGGGAGCUAAGUCGGUCUAUACUGGUCUAACACAAAGCGAACACCCCAAGCGGGCCUGGACUAGAGAGGCUACCUGAACUGUGGCGUGCUUAAAGCAGUACCACAGAGAUGGGAGGCACCCAAGAGUCUUUGCCCCAUCAGGUGCUGCAAGAAACCUCUUCACUGAGCAGUUUAUAAACAAGUGUACUCCUCAGAGUCUGGAGGAAGGAGGUCUAAGAUGUAUCGGCCCCAACGCCUCCUAUCUUGUGGAUCGAGUUCCUGUGGAGGAAGCUAACACAGCGGUAAGCAAAUGUGGACUGACAGAGGACACAGGGCCAUUCGAGAAACUGUCAGAAACUGAGAAUCACCUCAGAACACGCUGAGAAGGAGAGCUAAGGAGGUGAGGCCUGGGUUGUGGGAGGUUGGCACCUGACAGCAGUGGUUCCCACUGCUGGGUUCUCUUCUGGUUUUGAUUGUCUACGCUCAGGCUUCAGAGCCCUGGGCAUGAGAAAAAAAAAGGGAGAAUGAAUACGUUAGUAUUCCAUGAAGGCAUAGAAGCAGGUAUGUGGGAAUGGCUGUCGUUCCAUCUUCUGGGUAGUCAUGGCUGUCAGGUGGGAGGCCCAGGGAGAGCCAGUGUCCCGUCAGUCAAAACCAUGGCAGGGUGGCUUACAUUCUAUCUCAGAUAAAUUCUUUUUGUUUGGUAGAGAAGCAUUCUCUCUGCUCUAUUUCAGCUUCGGUUAAAUGGACUACGAGGACCCACGUCAUAGAGGGAAGUCUGUCUCACUGAUUCUGAUUUUUUUCAAAUAAAAUGUUUUCUUU
ensembl:lincRNA 4933406C10Rik RIKEN cDNA 4933406C10 gene